AGAUAUGAUCCAGAGUACCACGGGACACGUGAAACCCUGUGGGAAGCAGGAGGGACCACCCUCCAAGGCUAAAUACUACCUAGUGACCGAUAGCGUAUAGUACCGUGAGGGAAAGGUGAAAAGAACCCCGGGAGGGGAGUGAAAUAGAACCUGAAACCCUGCACUUACAAGCUGUGGAAGCACAUUUCUUGUGUGACCGCGUACUUUUUGUAGAACGGGCCAACGAGUUACGUUAAGUAGCAAGGUUAAGCACUUAAGGUGCGGAGCCGUAGCGAAAGCGAGUUUUAACUGAGCGUUCAGUUACUUGACGUAGACCCGAAACCGGGCGACCUACCCAUGAGCAGGAUGAAGCGAAAGUAAAAUUUCGUGGAGGUCCGAACCCACGAGCGUUGAAAAGCUCGGGGAUGACUUGUGGGUAGCGGUGAAAUUCCAAUCGAGCCCGGAGAUAGCUGGUUCUCCCCGAAAUAGCUUUAGGGCUAGCCUCAAGGUGAGAGAUACGGAGGUAGAGCACUGAAUGUCCUAGGGGGUAUUGCACCUACCGAAGACUAUCAAACUCCGAAUGCCGUCAUCUUAUACUUGGGAGUCAGACUGUGGGUGAUAAGAUUCAUAGUCGAAAGGGCAACAGCCCAGAUCGUCAGCUAAGGUCCCUAAAUGUAAGUUAAGUGGUAAAGGAUGUGGGAUUGCACAGACAACCAGGAUGUUGGCUUAGAAGCAGCCACUCAUUCAAAGAGUGCGUAAUAGCUCACUGGUCGAGUGAUCCUGCGCCGAAGAUUUCCGGGGCUAAAACUUACUACCGAAGCUACGGCAUCAGUAAUGAUGGGUAGGGGAGCUUCCCAUACGGGUUGAAGCAUGACCGUAAGGACAUGUGGACAGUAUGGGAGUGAGAAUGUUGGCAUGAGUAGCGAGAUGUGGGUGAGAAUCCCACAGGCCGUAA
rnacentral:rRNA from 1 species